GGAGAAAACACUUGUUGAAAUUUAACUACCUAUAAUAAGUCCUACAAGAAAAAACACCAAAAACUGUAAAGGUCUGUAUCAUCCCCCUAAGCUCGUCUAAGAUUUAAGAUAUCUUCUCUGAUCAUUUGCAUUGUUGGGCCUCCUCAUAUUUGGCAUAUUAUUCGUUGGUUACUUUUGCUUUCAGACUUGCAUUGAUACAUGACAAAAUCAGAUCAGAACCCUUGGCUACAUUACUUUAAGAUCAAUUUCUUGUGCCCGGCCACUUUCACUUCAUGCACAUAACCCUUUUCCAUUUUGAUUUAUCCUGAAAUCAUUUUGAGAAUCUAGCUUUGAGAACCAUUCGCUAUUUCUGCCAUGUGAAGUCUUCAUUGAUAUUUGACCUCCACUUCAUAUUAUUAGCACUAAUAGUCAAUGGUUUCCAGAUCAUUCUAAGUAACCACUAUAUACUACAUGUCAUCUUGUUACUAUUAAUCUACUUUGCCCGACUCAUUAGCCUCCAACUUAACCAUUUUGUCAUUAUUGGUUCUUAUCUUUGCAUCUUCUGUUAGUUGUUAGCAUUGUCCAUUUGGACACCCUUCCUAGGCCAAACCCCACUUCCUUCAACUUCUAAGGCCCUGUUUGGGGGAGCUGUUGGCAGUAGAGCUGUUGGAAGUAGAGCUGUUGGAAGUAGAGCUGUCUGAAGUAGAGCUGUUAUAAAAAGCUGUUUGCUGUUUGGUAACUACAUUCGUAAAGUGCUGUGGUAUUUUGUUUUGUGUUUGGUA
rnacentral:lncRNA from 1 species